rnacentral:tRNA from 1 species
GCGGCUGUAGCUCAAUUGGUUAGAGCACCUGGUUGUGGCCCAGGAGGUUGCGGGUUCGAGUCCCGUCAGUCGCC